rnacentral:rRNA from 1 species
ACAUGCAAGUCGAACGAUGAAGCUCUAGCUUGCUAGAGUGGAUUAGUGGCGCACGGGUGAGGAAUAUAUAGCUAAUGUGCCCCAUAGAGGGGGAUAACAGUUGGAAACGACUGCUAAUACCCCAUACUCCUUCUUCUCAUAAGGGAAGUCGGGAAAGUUUUUUCGCUAUGGGAUCGGGCUAUACGGUAUCAGCUUGUUGGUGAGGUAACGGCUCACCAAGGGCUAUGACGCCUAUCUGGUCUGAGAGGAUGAUCAGACACACUGGAACUGAGACACGGUCCAGACUCCUACGGGAGGCAGCAGUGGGGAAUAUUACACAAUGGAGGCAACUCUGAUGUAGCAACGCCGCGUGGAGGAUGACACAUUUCGGUGCGUAAACUCCUUUUAUAUAGGAAGAUAAUGACGGUACUAUAUGAAUAAGCACCGGCUAACUCCGUGCCAGCAGCCGCGGUAAUACGGAGGGUGCAAGCGUUACUCGGAAUCACUUGGGCGUAAAGCGCGCGCAGGCGGCCCGUUAAGUUGGAUGUGAAAUC